CACCCCUCAAGCCUUGCUUGGUGUUGGAGCACUACCGCUUUUUCAAAGUGGUAGGCUCUGAAAUUCAGUGGCGGGCUCGCUAAGACUCUGAGCGUAGUAGUUUAUCACCUCGCUUUGGAAGGAUUAGCGGUGCUCUUGCCGUAAAACCCCCAACUUCUGAA
rnacentral:misc_RNA from 2 species